rnacentral:tRNA from 1 species
CCAUCGGUGGUUCAGUGGUAGAAUGCUCGCCAGCCACGCCGGUGGCCCGGGUUCGAUUCCCGGCCGAUGCA